AUUGAACGCUGGCGGCAGGCCUUACACAUGCAAGUCGAACGAGUGGCGGACGGGUGAGUAAUGUCUGAGAAACUGCCUGAUGGAGGGGGAUAACUACUGGAAACGGUAGCUAAUACCGCAUACCAUCGGAUGUGCCCAGAUGGGAUUAGCUAGUAGGUGGGGUAACGGCUCACCUAGGCGACGAUCCCUAGCUGGUCUGAGAGGAUGACCAGCCACACUGGGACUGAGACACGGCCCAGACUCCUACGGGAGGCAGCAGUGGGGAAUAUUGCACAAUGGGCGCAAGCCUGAUGCAGCCAUGCCGCGUGUAUGAAGAAGGCCUUCGGGUUGUAAAGUACUUUCAGCGGGGAAGCGGUACCCGCAGAAGAAGCACCGGCUAACUCCGUGCCAGCCGCCGCGGUAAUAC
rnacentral:rRNA from 1 species